rnacentral:rRNA from 1 species
UACGUAGGGUGCAAGCGUUUAAUUCGGAAUUAGCUGGGCGUAAAGCGUGCGCUAGGCGGUUAUGUAAGACAGAUGUGAAAUGCCCGGCUUACCUGGGAACUGCAUUUGUGACUGCAUGGCUAGAGGUUUGGCAGAGGGGGGUAGAAUUCACGUGUAGCAGUGAAAUGCGUAGAUAUGUGGAGGAACACCGAUGGCGAAGGCAGCCCC